rnacentral:lncRNA from 1 species
CUUCAGUAAUCAGUUUAUGUAUCUAUAUGACAAAAUAUAUGGAUUCUGAGUACUUUUAUAUGAAAAAAUUGCAAAAAAGGCUACUUCCGAUUUUCUCAAGGUCACUUCCGGUAGUCAUUUUUCAAGGUCAUUUGUCACCUAACCUUUUAUACAAGGUCAAAUGCCUUUAUAAUGAACUUAGUUGAAGUUAUAAUCAAAUAACUUCAUAUCAAGACAUAUUAGGGGCACCAACUCCUAUAAGAUGCCAUUAAAUUGUAUCAGACUUAAUGUAUCAUAUCUUCAUAACAAUAAAGCAGAC